UACGAAGGGGGCUAGCGUUGCUCGGAAUCACUGGGCGUAAAGCGCACGUAGGCGGACUCUUAAGUCGGUGGUGAAAUCCUGGAGCUCAACUCCAGAACUGCCUUCGAUACUGAGAGUCUUGAGUCCGGGAGAGGUGAGUGAACUGCGAGUGUAGAGGUGAAAUUCGUAGAUAUUCGCAAGAACACCAGUGGCGAAGGCGGCUCACUGGCCGAUACUGACGCUGAGGCACGAAGCGUGGGAGCAAACAGG
rnacentral:rRNA from 1 species